GACGAACGCUGGCGGCGUGCCUAAUACAUGCAAGUUGAGCGCUGAAGGUUGGUACUUGUACCGACUGGAUGAGCAGCGAACGGGUGAGUAACGCGUGGGGAAUCUGCCUUUGAGCGGGGGACAACAUUUGGAAACGAAUGCUAAUACCGCAUAAAAACUUUAAACACAAGUUUUAAGUUUGAAAGAUGCAAUUGCAUCACUCAAAGAUGAUCCCGCGUUGUAUUAGCUAGUUGGUGAGGUAAAGGCUCACCAAGGCGAUGAUACAUAGCCGACCUGAGAGGGUGAUCGGCCAAAUUGGGACUGAGACACGGCCCAAACUCCUACGGAGGCAGCAGUAGGGAAUCUUCGGCAAUGGACGAAAGUCUGACCGAGCAACGCCGCGUGAGUGAAGAAGGGUUUCGGAUCGUAAAACUCUGUUGGUAGAGAAGAACGUUGGUGAGAGUGGAAAGCUCAUCAAGUGACGGUAACUACCCAGAAAGGGACGGCUAACUACGUG
rnacentral:rRNA from 1 species